GCCAACAUCUGGAGUGGACAUGAAGCAGUCACUUAGACUUGUCAGAGACGUGUCGCUGUCGAUGUCGUGGAAAAUGGAGUCACCUGGAGCUAUGUCUGAACGACGGUCACUACGCUCAGGCCGUCCUGCUUUCUAUCAGUGGAGGAGAGGAGCUGCUCAAGAAGACUCAGCAAAAAUACCUAAGCAAGCAGAACAGCACUUCACUGCUUCUAUCAUUAGUGGUGACCCAGAACUGGAGGGACAAUUUGCAAAGCUGUGAGCUGGAAGGAGGCUCACUUUACUUGCUGAAUAACAUUUCUGUCUGAGCUCAUUCCCACGGCUCUCAUGUUUCUUUUCAACAUUUUUAAAUCUGUA